UACAGAGGUCUCAAGCGUUGUUCGGAUUCAUUGGGCGUAAAGGGUGCGUAGGUGGCGCUGUAAGUCGGGUGUGAAAUUUCGGAGCUUAACUCCGAAACUGCAUUUGAUACUGCGGUGCUUGAGGACUGGAGAGGAGACUGGAAUUUACGGUGUAGCGGUGAAAUGCGUAGAUAUCGUAAGGAAGACCAGUGGCGAAGGCGGGUCUCUGGACAGUUCCUGACACUGAGGCACGAAGGCCAGGGGAGCAAACGGG
rnacentral:rRNA from 1 species